GGAGGAGCCACCCCCGGGCCCGCAGUGACCUGAUCAACCGGCCUCCACUGCAGCGGGUCCAGGGAAUCAGAAGAGGAAGGGCAGCCCAGGCCCCACGUUCAGCUUCGUGGGCAAGCGCAGAGGCGGGAACAAACUAGCCCUCAAGACGGGAAUAGUAGCCAAGAAGCAGAAGACGGAGGAUGAGGUAUUAACAAGUAAAGGUGACGCGUGGGCCAAGUACAUGGCAGAAGUGAAAAAGUACAAAGCCCACCAGUGCGGUGAUGAUGAUAAAACUGGGCCCCUGGUGAAAUGACCCCCCCCGGGUGCUCACUACCUGGGACUCCUUGAUGAACAUAAUAUUUAAUGCGGUAACGGCAGCUGCCUUCCUGGAGGACUGAUACACCGAAGGAAACCCAGGCGCUUCCCGUGGCCGCAGACCAUUCUCCAGGACUCUUUUUUACCUUGACCACUUGCCUCCUGAGACUUACUAGACCAGCGGUUUACUGUGCCCUUUCUUCCCAUCACCUUGCUCUCUCUGGCUCUGUCUGUCUCUUCUUGCUGUCUCUCCUUUUAGCAGUCACUUCUGAGAAGUAAAGAACCCGACUUAGUGCUGGAAAAAAAAAAAGAA